AUUUUGUGCAAAAUUUGUUGCAACAAAUAAUGCAAUUUUGAAAAGAACGACAGUACACUUCGAAUCAAAAAUCUUUCUACGUGUAACGAAAACAGCUGAUUCAAUUAAAGCAUGUGUUUAAAUAGAAUUAUUACACGAGUACAUAUGAAUGACAAUUGUCCAAUAAGGAAAGAUGGUACUGCUUUUGAAACACAUGCGAAACCAAUAACCGCGAAAAUAAAGAAAAGAGAGAAAGAUAACCAAUUUUAAUAAACAAUAUGCCACAUCGAAUGGCAAUGAUGUUAAAGCAUUAGAGGAUAUUUUCAAUAACCAGAGAUCUGAUGAAUUUGGGACGUUUGGAAAUUCCAUUGCAGCGCAACUACAAACAUUGCCAAACGAGGUGGCAAUUAAAUUAUAACAAGAUGUACAAACUUCAAUUAUGUGAACACGCUUAAAUUAUAUACAA